GAGAAAUUCUUUGUCACUCCAGGGCAGCAUCAGCCCUGGUCCCACUAAAAGCAGGAGGAAUCAUUUUAUCCUUGUUUUUGGAUGCACAUCUUGUGUUUUCUCUCUGUUGCCGACACCGUGUGGUGAAGCAGCAGCUCCCUACCUUUUCAGUGCUGCUCUCAGCUUUGUUUGUAUCUGGUAAACAAGAAACAGUAAUAUGCUGCCCUGUGGUAACUGGAUUAAGGACAAGGCCUCCCUCUUUGUUUAAUAUUCCUGAGAAAAGCUGCCAAUGAUUAAAGCAAGAGCUUCCCCUGGUUAAAUCCUGCCCAGUCCCAUGCUGGGUUUGCACACACACAAGGCUCACUCCCUGCUGGGAUCCCAGUCACUGCCCCCAGAUCAAUGUGCAGUUUAAGAUCUCACAGCCUGACCAGGACAAUCUCUUGCCUCUGAACAUGGAAAAUCAGUUUUUCAUUGUUACAGCACCAGCUCAAGGUAAUUAUGAAGUCGUGUAAUGGUUUUUAAGUUGUGCACGUGGAGGAAAUUCACUGCAGCAGCCAACACUGCUCUGCCUUCAUGGGCAACCCUGUGGGUUUGGGAUCUUGAAUUGUGGGUGUGAAAUCUCAUAGAAUCCUCUGAGGCUGAAGCAAAGACAAGGAACCUUCUGAGAUGGAAAGAGCCAGAGCAAGUUUUUGUGGGAAAAGAAAAUUAAAGAUGUAGGAUGUGGGCCAUGACAUGAAUUGGCUCCAACAGGGCCCAAGAUCCCUGUGGGGUCUGUGGCAGGGACAACUCCCAGAGCUGGACAGGGAAGGGAACCUUCACCCACACUCCCAAAAAGGGAAACAUUUAAGCAAGAGAUGCUGAAAAGAUUGGAGUUUCUGAUUUUAAGUCUCCAACUUAAAAUUGUCUUUGGAUUGCCACUGGUCCAAGUUCCAUGGACUGGGCUCUGUGGCCAGGAGUGUCCAAUCCUGCUGGAAAUGCGCCGGACCAGGAUGUCAUUUUCACUUUAUACAGCACAGGAGCCUUUCCCUUGCCCAGAGGAGCAUCCAGUGCUUCCUGAGUCCACAAAUCCCCAGGAUGGACGACAGAGAAAAUAACAGGAAUAUGGAAAUUCCCCACACUGGGAGUUUGUAGUGCUCUGGAUUACAUUUUGGAUUUAUAAUGUUAAAGGGGGUGUGUGGAAUGGCUUCAUUUUAUUGUCAUUGUUUUCACUACGCUUGUUGCUGUCACUGUUAUCCACAGUUAUCACUGCUAUCACUGUCAUCAAUAUUAAAUUAUUAUAUUUGUCUUGGUUUCCAUUAUUAAACUGUUCUGAUCUCACCACCCG
rnacentral:lncRNA from 1 species